rfam:Cucumis melo, WGS project CAJI01000000 data, contig: 13757
AUGAUUCCUACAUGGUCGUCCUGAGAAUACAUGUCACUGUAUUGUCUGAAUAACAUUCAGCAAGUAACAUUCAACAUGUGUUCUCAGGUCGCCCCUGCAGGCUUUUU